CUGCCCCCGUGUCUGUGCCCUGCAGGAGCAGCUCCAGGCCCUUCUCUCUUUUCCCGCUUUUUCUUGCUGUGGGCUUUACAUAUCUGAACAGGCGGGCACGAGAAGGCAGACUACACGUCUUCUCACAGCCACGGGGACCAUGCGCUGUCACACACGCUCUUCAUUCACCUUCAGGACAUUCCCAAUGCCGAGAGCUUGGCCUGGGUCUCCCCACACACACACACCACACACACUCAGACGUUCAUAGACAUGGGAUCACACAUGGGGUCACAAACACACACUGUUGGACACACAAUUACAUGGUGAGAUGUUGCACAUACAGUGACUCCAGUCCAGGCAAUGUCACCCAGUGUCACGCACAGAUAUACAGAGAAACAGGGGCUUGUGUAGCCCGCACACUUCUCUCCUGAUCUGUCUCUCUCUGUCUCUAUUGCAAAUCUAUCUCUGCAACUCAUGCACACAGAGGUGUAGAAACAUACAGCAAUUUCCUAGGGGCAGGCUGCAGCUGAGGAAGGUCCUGUAUUUCCUCAGCACAAGGGAUUCGAGGGCAGGUUGUGGUUUUUCGGUUGUUUCUGCCUGGUCUCUACGCUGGGACCUUGUCUGGGAGGGAGCCCAGUUCAGCAGGAAGGCCACACCGACCUGGGCACAGCCCCAUCCGCUGGGACUCAAGGGACAGGCUUCCAACAGCCCCUCUCCAGGCCCUAUUCAGCAGUUCCAGGUCCCCGAGGACAAAUAAUCCACUCCCCCAAGUGACAAAAGCUACCAUUUCAGGUGCCAGCGCCUCAGUCCUCUGUGACCCCACAUGAUAAAGUCCUAUUUAUAGAUGAGGAAACAGAGGCUCAGGAUAGUCAGGUGCCCUACCUAAAAUCACCAUGUAAUAGCAGAUAUAUGAACCCAGAUCUGUGUGGCUUUAACUUUGGGUGUCAAAGGCUGUCUGCCUGCCUGUCUCCUCAACAGACAGCUCCCUCCUGGGGGGUCUUGGGAGAUAAAGAGAGGGGAGGGGACUGGUUUAUCCCAGGAACAAGGAAGGAGAGGCCCAGGUCACCUUUUCCAGAGGCAAUCUACCCCCUGCCUGCAGGGAAGCAGCUUUCGGCCUCCCCAGAGCUCCAGAGGAGGAGGGGAACCCUCUUUACCUGAGCUUUUGUCCUUCCAAAAGCGACUAAAGGGGAGUAACUAUUCCUGUUGACCUCAUAGCAAAUAAAAUGCAGAAUUCAUUAUUUUAGCGUUGGAUCUGCGUGCAUGAGGUUUUGUCACAAUCACUGCAGUCUAACUCAAAGCCUCCUGUCACGUCCCUGCAGAGUCCAGGGGUGCCAGUGCCCCACAACAAGAGCAUCCCCCCAAAACUCACACUCUCUGCUCAGUGCCCUGCACCUCCUGUCCUUCUCUGCCACCCUGGUCCUCUUGUGCCCCAGGACUGUGGAAUGAAGGGGGACCAGAGGAAAGGGCAGGUUCAAGGAGCCUGACACCUCUGGGAAAAGAGGUUCAGGGGAGAAGACAAGCAGCCCACAGAACGGUUCCUCCUCACUUUCUCUCUCCCUUUAAUGCUAGCUUGGCCUGCAGCAGCAGGGGAGCCAUAGUGAGUCUGCACUCAUGGUCCCACAAAGAUCCCGAGUUCACCAGGAAAGCCCCUGCCUGGCUGGGGAGCCAGGGAAGGGGAAGAAUGAGUCUAGGAAAGGAUUUGAGUGCUGAAAAAAGUGCUGGCAUCUUAGGUGAGAGACACAUCUGCCCACAUCCGGUUCUCAGGCAGUGUAUGGCAUCUGCCCCCUCCAGCCUGGCCUGUCACCUGCUCUGGGACACAUUUCAAGGCCUCUGCAGGCCCACUCCUCAAAGAUCUCAGUUCUGCAGGUCUGGAAGUAAGAGUAGGAGGUGGUGGGAAGCGAGUGUCCCCACACACAGGGCGGGCCACCCGAGCCUGCCCUCCACUCUGCUCAAGCACGUCCCAGCAUCUCUGGAUAACUGCCCUGUCCAAGAGCAGCUGACCACUUCCUCAGGCCAAGGUCCACCUGCCACCUGCUCUCUGGUGGCACCAAGGAGGUCAGGGUGUCCCCGCCUGUUCCGAGAUGGGGGUCUGGUGUGGGCUGUCAACAAGGGGUUCAGAAUGGGUGGGCAGGGUGUGUGAAGGGUCCUGGCUCUCCCUGCACCGAGCUUCCUGCCCGUCUGUCGCAGGGGCCGGGGGGAGGGGGUGGCACUUGAGUUCCAUCUGGGAGGUCACAGAGGAAGGACGACAAGCUGCCACCACAGGGCCCCUGGGGGCUAUGAGUCAAAGGCUGCACCUGGGGUCUUCAGGGAAAGGCUGGGUCUCCACCCCUAGCCUGUCAGCCCUCCCAGACCUCUCAGCGUGUUUGAUCAACGAUGGAGGACCGGAGGGAUGAAGGCCCUGCUGCCUUCAUUGCUGUGUCCUGUGGGCUUUAGAAGUUGGGAUGGACAUGGAGGAGAAUUUGCCUCUCCGGCCCAGAAGCUAAGUAAGCUUCAGAUGCCCUCAACCUGUCACUGCCAGUAGAGUCUGAAGAUCUGCAGAGACUGCAGCUGCCUGGAGUCGGUGCACCCUCCAUGCCAGGGC